AGGGAGAGUCCCAUGGAGGGCCCUGUCGGCCCUGGAGCCUUUCCCAGGUCCCAUUGCCAGGAGCCUGGUUUACGAUGCUUGUGCUGCCCUUCAACACAAUUUGUAAAGCACAAAGAAGAAAGGUAGAAAUGAGUUGGGGAGCAGCUGGAAAUGAUG